rnacentral:rRNA from 1 species
UACGGAGGGUGCGAGCGUUAUCCGGAAUUACUGGGUUUAAAGGGUGCGUAGGCGGCUUUGUAAGUCAGUGGUGAAAUAUGGCAGCUCAACUGUCAGGGUGCCAUUGAUACUGCGGAGCUUGAGUACAGAUGAGGUAGGCGGAAUUGACGGUGUAGCGGUGAAAUGCUUAGAUAUCGUCAAGAACACCGAUAGCGAAGGCAGCUUACUAGGCUGUAACUGACGCUGAGGCACGAAAGUGUGGGGAUCAAACAGG